GAUGAACGCUAGCUACAGGCUUAACACAUGCAAGUCGAGGGGUAACGAGAGGAAAGCUUGCUUUCCUUGUCGACGACCGGCGCACGGGUGAGUAACGCGUAUCCAACCUGCCCCCAACUAGGGAAUAACCUUGCGAAAGUAAGACUAAUACCCUAUAAUUUCCUCAGAUGACAUCUGACGAGGAAUAAAGAUUUAUCGGUUGUGGAUGGGGAUGCGUCUGAUUAGCUUGUUGGCGGGGUAACGGCCCACCAAGGCAACGAUCAGUAGGGGUUCUGAGAGGAAGGUCCCCCACAUUGGAACUGAGACACGGUCCAAACUCCUACGGGAGGCAGCAGUGAGGAAUAUUGGUCAAUGGGCGGAAGCCUGAACCAGUCAAGUAGCGUGCAGGAUGACGGCCCUAUGGGUUGUAAACUGCUUUUAUACAGGAAUAAAGUUAGCCACGUGUGGUUAUUUGUAGGUACUGCAUGAAUAAGGACCGGCUAAUUCCGUGCCAGCAGCCGCCGUAA
rnacentral:rRNA from 1 species